GACGAACGCUGGCGGCGUGCUUAACACAUGCAAGUCGAACGCUGAAGACCUGGCUUUUGUUGGGUUGGAUGAGUGGCGAACGGGUGAGUAACACGUGAGUAACCUGCCCUCUUCUUUGGGAUAACGCCCGGAAACGGGUUCUAAUACUGGAUAUUCACUGGCCUUCGCAUGGGGGUUGGUGGAAAGGUUUGUUCUGGUGGGGGAUGGGCUCGCGGCCUAUCAGCUUGUUGGUGGGGUGAUGGCCUACCAAGGCUUUGACGGGUAGCCGGCCUGAGAGGGUGACCGGUUAAAGUGGGACUGAGAUACGGCCCGGACUCGUACGGGAGGCAGCAGUGGGGAAUAUUGCACAAUGGGCGAAAGCCUGAUGCGGCGACGCCGCGUGAGGGAUGGAGGCCUUCGGGUUGUAAACCUCUUUCGCUUAUGGUCAAGCCGCAACUGUGGGUUGUGGUGAGGGUAGUGGGUAAAGAAGCGCCGGCUAACUACGUG
rnacentral:rRNA from 1 species